CGGCGGACGGGUGAGUAACGCGUGGGUAACCUGCCUCAUACAGGGGGAUAACAGUUAGAAAUGACUGCUAAUACCGCAUAAGACUACGGUACCGCAUGGUACAGUGGUAAAAACUCCGGUGGUAUGAGAUGGACCCGCGUCUGAUUAGGUAGUUGGUGGGGUAACGGCCUACCAAGCCGACGAUCAGUAGCCGACCUGAGAGGGUGACCGGCCACAUUGGGACUGAGACACGGCCCAG
rnacentral:rRNA from 1 species